CAAAAAUAAUUCGAGAUGACACUAAUAGAGAUAAUAAAGCUCAUUACAGUUUUCCUGAUUUGCUUUCUGGCUGGCUUCAGCACUGGUAAGACUGACUAUUCAAUUAUAGAUUUCCUUACAUUGCUGCAUGUUUUAUAAAGCUCAAUAUUCAGUGAGUGUGGAGAGACCAUGUCCAAUGGAAACAGUCGUUUUUACUUGCACUGCUCCUGGAGAUUUCUUGAGAUGGGAGCCGUCAGAUGCAACUCGCACGAUCACUGUUCGCUCCACCUCUGGUCUCAAUGUAGCCAAUGUUGUAUCAGGUUACACCGUGACACUGAUUGGAUUUAACGACACUACUUUAACAUCUACUCUGUCAAUAACAGCAGAGAACGGGAUCACUGUGACGUGUGUGGGGAUUGUGCUUACUUUAAAUACUAUAGGAUCUUCAACAAUUCAAUUGGUUGAACGACCAGGACCACCUUCCACCAUCAGACACUCCACUUCGAGCAUCUUAGCCAAUGAAGUCGGUGUGACUGUUGGUUGGGACCCUCCUACUGAGACUGGUGGUAGAGAUGACCUCACCUACACAGUGACCAUUUCACCUCCGGCCAUACUCUCUGGUACUGUCCUCACAUCCACCUCUGUCACUGUGACUGCUCAAUACAAUGUGGACUACACUGUCAGUGUUGUGGCUACUAAUUGUGCUGGGAACAGUACGGCAGCUGAGUACAACUUUAGGAUUGGUGAGUUUUAUUUUUGACACACAGUGUCAACUCCUCCUCAGGCAAUUACUGUCCUGUGUUGACCAACCCCAUGAAUGGAGUGUUUGGACCAACUACCAACAGUUUGCCAGGAUCCACGGUAACCAUCCAGUGUGAUGCUGUGUAUGUGUCUACUGUUACAAUGGUGACAUGUGAGGGUACACUGAUGUGGAGUCCCGACCCUGAGGCUAUUGAGUGUACAUCACUAACCACACCUACUCCCACAACUCUCCCCCCUCAAAUGAAUUGCACAGCUUCACUACCACCACCACGGAAUGGCACCAUCAGUGGUCAUUCAGUACCAGCUAUUCCCGGUAUGUGAGUGGUCUUUCAGUGUGACAAUGGACUGUUCCCUGAGGGGAUAAUGACUGCCACAUGUCUAGCUACAGGAGAGUGGGACAGGAACACGGGGGAGAUUGUCUGCAGAGGCAAGCGUAUUCAUUACUUUACACUUGUAAUCAUAUAUAUAUACUUCUCUCUUGAACCACAUACAGCUGCUCUUUGUAAUUGUGCCAGCCUAUCUGCAGCUGUCUCCAUCAGCGUGAUUGUCACGGCAGUUCUAUUCACCGUCAUUGGAUUGUUGAUGGGACUCUUGAUAAUGUAUUUGUUCAUUCAUAAAAAGAAUGUGUACUCCCCGUCAGCUAAAGAGCGAGCUAACGUAAGACCCACUACACCAGCUGGUCCUGUUUAUGAGGAGGUGUCACCCAAAGAGGAGAUUGAACUGAAUACUAACCAGGCGUAUGGACCAGUAGGACUGUGAAACUUCUGGUACUUUCAUCAAUAGAUGCAUGUACAUGUAACAAUUACCAUAAUUUAUAUAGCUAGCACGUACUGCAACUGUUCAUUCAACAACUUAGAACAAUGUAAA